AACGUAGGACGCAAGCGUUAUCCGGAGUUACUGGGCGUAAAGCGCGGGCAGGCGGCUCGAUGCGUCUGAUGUGAAAUCUCCUCGCUCAACGGGGAGAGGCCAUUGGAAACGGUCGGGCUGGAGGGCAGUAGAGGUAGGCGGAAUUCCGGGUGGAGUGGUGAAAUGCGUAGAGAUCCGGAGGAACACCAGAGGCGAAGGCGGCCUACUGGGCUGCACCUGACGCUGAGCCGCGGAAAGCCCAGGGGAGCGAACGGG
rnacentral:rRNA from 1 species